GGCCAGACUCCUACGGGAGGCAGCAGUGGGGGAUAUUGCACAAUGGGGGGAACCCUGAUGCAGCGACGCCGCGUGGGUGAAGAAGUAUUUCGGUAUGUAAAGCCCUAUCGGCAGGGAAGAAUUUAGACGGUACCUGACUAAGAAGCCCCGGCUAACUACGUGCCAGCAGCCGCGGUAAUACGUAGGGGGCAAGCGUUAUCCGGAUUCACUGGGUGGAAAGGGAGCGUAGACGGCCAUGCAAGCCUGGAGUGAAAGCCCGGGGCCCAACCCCGGGACUGCUCUGGGAACUGUGCGGCUGGAGUGCGGGAGGGGCAGGCGGAAUUCCUGGUGUAGCGGUGAAAUGCGUAGAUAUCAGGAGGAACACCGGCGGCGAAGGCGGCCUGCUGGACCGCGACUGACGUUGAGGCUCGAAAGCGUGGGGAGCAAACAGGAUUAGAUACCCCAGUAA
rnacentral:rRNA from 1 species